rnacentral:rRNA from 1 species
UACGGGGGGGAGCAAGCGUUGUUCGGAUUUACUGGGCGUAAAGCGCGCGUAGGCGGACCUGCAAGUCGGGGGUGAAAGCCCGAGGCUCAACCUCGGAACUGCCUUCGAUACUGCGGGUCUCGAGUCCGGGAGAGGUGAGUGGAAUUCCUAGUGUAGAGGUGAAAUUCGUAGAUAUUAGGAAGAACACCAGUGGCGAAGGCGGCACUCUGGGCCGGUACUGACGCUGAGGAGCGAAAGCGUGGGGAGCAAACAGG